GACGAACGCUGGCGGCGUGCUUAACACAUGCAAGUCGAACGGUAAGGCCCUUCGGGUACGACGAGUGGCGAACGGGUGGAGUAACACGUGGGUGGAUCUGCCCUGCACUUCGGGAUAAGCCUGGGAAACUGGGUCUAAUACCGGAUAGGACCAUGGACUUCACGGUUUGUGGUGGAAAGCUUUGCGGUGUGGGAUGGCCCGCGGCCUAUCAGCUUGUUGGUGGGGUAAUGGCCUACCAAGGCGACGACGGGUAGCCGGCCUGAGAGGGUGUCCGGCCACACUGGGACUGAGAUACGGCCCAGACUCCUACGGGAGGCAGCAGUGGGGAAUAUUGCACAAUGGGCGCAAGCCUGAUGCAGCGACGCCGCGUGAGGGAUGAC
rnacentral:rRNA from 1 species